rnacentral:lncRNA from 1 species
UUGCACGCCCUCAAUCCUGGCCGUCGAGGUAACUCGAUCAAAUGGCCAGGAACUCGCCUCUCAUUAAUAUAAAAUGGUUUGAACAUGCACCCCACCCCCUCAGGCAUUCGUCUUCAUCAGAGACCCCUUUUAGAAACCUAAUUGUGCCACCCCUAAAUCCUCAGCUGCCGGUGGCGGUGCCACCACCAAAGAGCACCAAAUUAACACCCCAAUCUCCUCUCGUCUUUCUCUUCCCAUAUCUGGUACUGGUUUUUCUUGUUAGUUUAAUGCUCAAAUGCUAAUUGGUCUUUAGUAUAAAUAAGCUUUCUCGUUAGUCUACUCAUGUGAAUUUUGAUUUGGGAUUCAACUUGGAUUUGAGUUCAGUUUAUGCUUUUGUUCUAAGCCUUAUCAGUUUGUUAAUUGUUGAUUCGAUAUUAGUGUUAAUUAGUAUUGAUUAGUAUAGUGUUUGAAAUAGGCUGAUUGGUUUUAGCUGAUUGAGUCACCCUUUAGUUAACUAUAGUGUUAGUGUUAAUUAGUAUCAAUUAGUGUAAUGCUUGAAAUAGGCUGAUUGGUUUCAGCUGAUUGAGUCACCCUUUAGUUAACUAUAGUUAAAUCUUAGCUAAGGUAAAGGGUUUGGUCGAGUCAGUAGUUUCAGGGUUUUCAGGCUAGUUUAGAUAUUUAGGAUGGGGUAGAAUUUGGUAGAAUAUGCAAGAACCUUCUAGAGUAGCUAUUUAGUUGUAAUUUCAGGGAAUUAGUAAACUUACAUGGGGAACAAGUUGGUAAUUAAGGGACUAAAUGGGUAAAUAAAUAGGGACCAAGAGGAAAAUUAAAAAUUAGAGGGCUGCCCCACCUUUGCCUAUAUAAGUAAGUUUGGAGACUCACAAAAAUUCCCCCAUUUCUCUACAAGUUUCAUUCUGAAAUUUGAGUUCCAAACUCAAAAGUCUUCAAAAAAAAUCAAAAACAAAAGAUAGUAGUAGUUCUUAGAAAAAAACCAAAAACAAUAGAAAAUUUAAUAGAAAAUCCAAAAAAAACCAGCCACUGUUCCAUUGCAAUUUUAAAUCCAGUUGCAAGUUGUAGUGUGGAUUUACAUUAUUUAUAUUAGAGUUUGAUUGCUGAUGUUUUGUGAUUGUUCCUGGGUUCAAUUUCGAGUCAUUUUAGUUGUAAUCAAGUUGUUUUGGAUGGUAUUUUCGGUUAUAAGGUCUUGGUUCAUUCUGAGAUCAAUAACAUGCUUAUUUAAGUGGCUUUGGUUUGAGUAGUUAGUUCUGCUCGAUUUCAAAAACCUCUGAGUUGCGUUUUGAUCAUUGGCUCCCUGAUUGUUCAACACUGUUGAAUUUCAUUAUUGCUCGCUGUGGCUUUGUUGCUGACCUCUCUCUCUCUUCUCCUUUGUUAUUUCAUAUCUUCAGGUACAUUCCUUCAACAAUCUCGAUGUACUUUGAAUUGAAGCUGAAAUAAGAACAUUCCAUCAGCUUUGAGCCCAUUGAGAUUGCUUUUUAAUUCAAUAGAUGUUGCUGAAAUAGAUGUGGUUAAUAUUAGCAGCUAUUUUGUAUUAUGUGAUGACAGAUUGAUUAGGGCUGUUCUUAAGUUGAUUUGGAUUGUUAUACUCUCGGAAUAUUUGAGAUUUUGGAUUAUAUAUUAGUAUGUCAUGGUUGAAUUUCAUGGUUGUGUGAUGUGAUUUUUGAAAAGCAAACAAAGGAUGGUUUGAAUAGAAAGCAAUUUUGGUAUCCACGAUUUAUAUCUGUGUUGAUAGUGGAAAUUAAGUGAUAAAUUGGUAGGUAGAUUGAGCAGCCUAAGGUA